rnacentral:rRNA from 1 species
UACGGAGGGUGCGAGCGUUAAUCGGAAUAACUGGGCGUAAAGGGCACGCAGGCGGGUAUUUAAGUGAGAUGUGAAAUCCCCGGGCUUAACCUUGGAAUAGCAUUUGAAACUGGGUGUCUAGAGUACUUUAGGGAGGGGUAGAAUUCCACGUGUAGCGGUGAAAUGCGUAGAGAUGUGGAGGAAUACCGAAGGCGAAGGCAGCCCCUUGGGAAUGUAUUGACGCUCAUGUGCGAAAGCGUGGGGAGCAAACAGG